GACGAACGCUGGCGGCGUGCUUAACACAUGCGAGUCGAACGGAAAGGCCCUGCUUUUGUGGGGUGCUCGAGUGGCGAACGGGUGAGUAACACGUGAGUAACCUGCCCUUGACUUUGGGAUAACUUCAGGAAACUGGGGCUAAUACCGGAUAGGAGCUCCUGCUGCAUGGUGGGGGUUGGAAAGUUUCGGCGGUUGGGGAUGGACUCGCGGCUUAUCAGCUUGUUGGUGGGGUAGUGGCUUACCAAGGCUUUGACGGGCAGCCGGCCUGAGAGGGUGACCGGCCACAUUGGGACUGAGAUACGGCCCAGACACCUACGGGAGGCAGCAGUGGGGAAUAUUGCACAAUGGGCGGAAGCCUGAUGCAGCAACGCCGCGUGCGGGAUGACGGCCUUCGGGUUGUAAACCGCUUUCGCCUGUGACGAAGCGUGAGUGACGGUAAUGGGUAAAGAAGCACCGGCUAACUACGUG
rnacentral:rRNA from 1 species